GAUGUGCUAUCACCAAGUACAAGUAGAUUAAUGGUGGAAUUGGUGAACCUUGUAAAUGAUUGUAUAUUCACUUUCUGUUCUAUAUCCUUUCUGAUGUGUUACUUAUUAGAUACACUAUAGAUUUGCAUCUUAAUGGUGGGCUUCCUUACUUCUUCUUUUCGUUGUUUGAUUCCAUUGUUUUAUAUUAUCACUUGAUGCUGUAAUUAAAAUUUAAUAUAUCGAUAAAAGUACUAUUUCUCGUAAAGACUUUCAGAUUCAUUAGUUGUCUU
rnacentral:misc_RNA from 1 species